UGUUUAGUGGCGUUAAGUGAUUUGUAACACAGCCACGAUUCAUUAGUCCACGUGCAGAGUGACAUGAAACUAAUGGCUGAGUUAAAAAAAUAAGAAUCAAACAAUGGCUCCUGCUCCCUACUUAGUGCACUACACCGGCGCCAUUUUGGCUCUUCAACUCCCGCCCACCUGAGCGCUCUGUUACACUGUGUGUGUGUGUGUGUGUGUGUGUGUGUGUGUGUGUGUGUGUGUGUGUGUGUGUGUGUGUGUAACGGAGAGUCAGUGCAACGGAGAGUCAGUGCGAACAAUCCUGACCGAAAGUCUGUCUCUAUUUCAGCUUUAAAAAGAUUUUCAGCACCUUUAAUCGAAGAGAAAAACAUUUUACAGAGUUAACAGGAGUGAAAGGAGAGGAAUAAAACACCGUCUCGGCAUUAUACUGAGUCUCAGGUAUCCCCACAAUGUUUGAAAAACAGCCGUACGAAAGCCCCCCCAUGUACAGCCCUCCGUCACACAGUUACAGACCCCAGGGCAGUUUCCUCCCCCCUCAGAGCGAGUUCGACCCGUACCCCCCUCCUCCUGGGUCGUAUUAUAUCGGAGAGGAAGUGCCACAACAUUUCUACAAAUGGACCUCUCCUCCCGGAAUCAUCAAGAUCAUGGAAGGUGCCAUCGUGGUGUUGUGUCUCGGUAUCUUCGCCUGCGUUGCGUCGACGCUCGUCUGGGACAUGCAGUACGGUUACGGAUACGGAGGCACGUACGGCCUCGGAUCUGGGAGCAGUCUCGGCAGCUACGGAUCCGGGUACUACGGAUCCGGGUACUACGGAGGCGGGAAUUAUGGAGGCUACAACUACGUGAGCCCGUAUUCUGCCAAAUCCGCCAUGAUCGCCAUGGCUGCCAUCAACUUCAUUGUGUCGCUGGCCAUCUUCGUGGCUACCUUCUCCAAAACGAGGACCAUCCGGAGCAGGAAGUUCUACCUAAUCGUGCUGGUGUGCUCCGUCGUCCUGGCCGUGCUGCAGAGCAUCAUCAGUAUUGUGUACAUCGUAGGGGUGAACCCCAUGGCUCAGAGCUCCGCCAGCAUGCUCUACAACCCCAUGCUGAUGAUGUGUCAGAGCCUGUAUGGGAACAGUGUGACGGGAAUGGGCGGAGGAUUCCCUCUCUACAACCAGUACCUCUAUCACUACUGCUUCGUCGAUCCUCAGGAGGCCGUGGCGAUGGUGUGUGGCUUCUUGGUGGUGAUUGCGCUGGUCGUAGCUGCGUUCUUCUCCUAUAAAACGAGAAGUAAGAUCUGGCGCUACGGAAAACACAACGUGUACUGGAACGAGCCACUGACGGGCGGCGCCGAGGGCAGAGACGUGGAGGACUGGGUGAACAAUGUGGAUGAUGGACAGAGCCUCCACGAGCAGUCGGUGAUGUUUUCAGAGAAAGGAGCUCUGCCACUGAACAAGUCCCAGAGUGUGACCUCCAUCCCCUUUAAGAGUGACUCCUAUACACCUCCAGCGUACUCGGAGCGUGUGUUCAGUCGUGCUCAGGAUCCGGAGAGCUCGAGUCCGUCUGAGAGAACAGAGAGGAAGCCUGCAGCACUGCGUGGGAAACGCCGCAGGAGGAACCCUGAGCUGGACGAGUCUCAGUACGAAACAGAGUACACUACAGGAGGAGAGACCGGGAAUGAACUAGACCCCAGUCACUGGACCAGUCUGUACCCGGAGAUCACGUCCAGCUCUCAGAGACAGGACUAUAAGAGGGAGUUCGAUUCGGAUCUGCGCACGUACAAACAGCUGUGUGCUGAAAUCGACGACAUCAACGACGAGCUGAACAAACUGAGCCGAGAACUCGACACACUGAACGAGGGGACGAACAAAUACCAGGCCGUAGCAGAGGAAUUUAAUCGAUUGAAAGACCUGAAACGGUUUUCUCAGUGCGGACCCACGAUAUACACCUACACUAAUCUUUUACCAAACUGAGCCCCGCGUCGUACCAGACACGUUGCCAUGGAAACAUGCCCGUAAACAUGUUCUGUCCGAUUCUGUGUGGAAAUUAACGCACGUUUCUUUUUUUUAUUCAGUCUACAUUCUGUCACUGUUUCCAACUUUCUAUUUAUUUCUAUUUCAUUUUAGUGUUUUAUUUAGUUUUAUUUAUUUGGAUUAAGUUUUUUUUCUUUUCCUCCUGACUGUAAAACCUCGCGACAGCGUUUCUGGACUGUGUUUGUGUUCAGGGGGCGGAGUCAAGUCCAGUGUCUCGUACACACUUGUUUUGGGGGAAAAACACAAAUCCGUCAUUCUUUUCUAUGCCGGAUUAUCAGGAGAAAAAGCAGCGCUGCCGUCGCCUGCGUCACAAACUCUUCCACAUAAAACACAUGGUGAAGGAUUACGACCGAGCUCAGUCCUAAAGCUCCACCUGACCUUUAACCCCACCGGUGUGUGUGUGUGUGUGUGUGUGUGUGUGUGUGUGAGAAAGGUGUGGCUCAGAGUGAUAAGGCCAGUGUGAAACAUUCUGCUUUUUGUAAGUGAUACAGAGAAAUGUACUUUAUGCGAUAACGUGUGUGUGUGUGUGUGUGUGUGUGUGUGUGUGUUGAUAAUCAACAGUAUAUCACAAUACUGCCACGGUGGCAUUACUGUAACUCAGUUUGUAUGAUAUCAUAAUAAUUAUGAUACCAUAACACACAGACCACACUUACACCGCGGCGCUGCUGAGUUCUGCACUCUGAUUGGUCAGAAGGUGGUGAUUAGUUCUCUAUAACAGCGGCUCUGACUGUAGCGCAGGUUUAUAUUAAUGCUCUCGUUCUGAUACCUUAUCGUUUCUAUAGCAACACCUCAUUUAACAGGGACUUGUGUGUAAUCUUUGAUGGGAAGUUUUCUGUAAGGAGAAAUGUGUUUACGUAGCGUGUAGGGAAGGAGUCUCCAGUGUCAGCGCUGUGUAACAGUCAGAGGUGAAGCUGUGAUUUUAAGUUUCCCACAUCUUCAUCACAGAUUUACACUCCUGUACUGUUUCUCACUAACACGCACAGCUGCGAUUUUUGUAUUUGUCUUAUUAACAUGAAGAGAGAGAGAGAGAGAAUAGAGAGAGAGAGGGAGGGAUGGUGAGGGAACGAGUGUUUAUAGCUGCUGUAACGUAAAUGACAACAGGAACUGACUCGCUUCACAUUAAGUGUAACUAUAAACGGAUAGAAAGCGUGAUGUGUCUAUCUUUAAAAAGUGUAAUUGUUGGUGAGUUGCUGGAAUAAAACACUCGGGGAUGCGCUGUUACAGGGAAAUAAUCAACAAACACUUACAACACACCAUGUACCCGCGCACACACACACGUACACGCACACACGCACACACGGUGUGAGAGAUGUUUGGAUUUGUUUGUAAGACAGUUCCUGGAUGUGGAAGUAAACGAUCCACUCCGUGAUGUAAUCCUGGUGUAAACCCGUGUCCUGAAGAUGAAGAUGAAGAUGAAGAUGAUGAUGAUGAAGAUGAUGAUGAUGAUUAAAGUGUGUAGUAAAUAUUCAGGUUGGUUUUUGUUUUGUUUCCGGUGCUUAAUAAUGUUGAUAAACUUUUCCUUCGUGUUCUGAUCUCCUUAUUUUACUUUUAUUACACGUAAUGAAGUUUUAAUGGUUUGGCGAACGCUUUUUGGAAAGCGAAGCUCAGUCCUGUGAAGAGAAUUCGACUCGUCUGUACAAACCUGAGACGCCACUGAAGGAGUAAAAUAAUCAUCUUUGAUCUGUUUAUAGAUCGGAUUUACUCCCACUGAUUUUCUAAUUACUUUGAUUUGAAAUGUAAGAAAAUCUGUUUUAUUUUACUUCAGUUUCGCUCCAAACAGAAACAGAGAUUUUAUUUGAUAUAAAGUCUUUUUUCAGAGCGUCGCUCUCCGUGAUCUUUAGUAGUAGUUGUGUAAAUGAAAGCAUGUAUAUAUUGAUUUAUUUUUCUUUAAGCAGACAGAAUUCUUUGCGUGUUUCACACUCCUGAAUAUUACAGUAAUGUCUGGGAUUUCACACUGAUUACUUUUUCUUUUCUUUUUUUAAGGUAAGCUGUUGUUGUUGUUGUUGUUGUUGUUUUCUGAACAAAUGUGCCACUCUGAUGUAUAUAAGUGCUUUUAAAGCUCAAUAUUGAUGAAAUCUGUUUGUUUUUAAUUGACUGUGAUCUGAAGAGAUCAGAUUACUCAUCACUGCCCUGUGUUUCUGAUUGUUAAUCACGACACUAGAUCAAACUUGCGUUUAUUUUCCUGUUAAGACUUCAGGAUUUAUUCCUGUGUAUUUUUAUUUUUGUACAAAAAUAAUAAUAAUAAUAAUAAUAAUAAUAAUGAUAAUAAUAAUUCAUCAUAAACGGUAUCAGAGAGUUUGUCUUUUUUGUUUUGUUUUCUUCGUAAUGACAUGUUUAUGUUAGUGAUUUUUGCUUUUUGUAUCUUUAUGAAUAAACUGAGUUUGUAUUUAACAGUG